rnacentral:lncRNA from 1 species
GUUCAAAUCUUUUGCCUGUUUCUUCCUCCACAAAGUGGUGGCCACAGGCCUUCUCUCACCCCUCCCCAUUCCUCCUGUCACUAGAGUAGCACUCUGCCCAUGGGCUUCCAUCUUGGGGGCUUUGUCUCCAGACACCCUCACCCCAUUUCAAACCUAGGAGGGACCUCAUUACUCCCAGGGCUCAGGGCCCUGACACCUCCCAGGGCUCCCAAAGACUCCAAGGGUGCCCCCAUUCCUCAGGCCACCAUACUCUUCCAGUUCCCCAGUAGGGAAACAUUCAGUGCAGAUUGACUGAGUGUCUACCAUGUGGAAGGGACUUCCUAGGUGGCCCAGUGGUCAAGAAUCCGCCUGCCAAUGUAGGAGUGUCAGGAGACACAGGUCCCAUCCCUAGGUGGGGAAGAUCCCCUGGAGGAGGAGGCCAUGGCAACCCAUUCCAGUAUUGUUGCCUGGAGAACCCAUGGACAGAGGAGCCUGGUGGGCUACAGUCCAUGGGAUUGCAGAGUCAGACACGACUGAGCAACUUUCCACCUAAGAUGUGGAAAGAUCUGUUGGAGGCCUCAGUACACCUCGGUAAACUUGGAUUCCGGUUUUGCACCCCAUUUUUAGUUGUCAGAGCUCAGGUGGGGCCUUUAACUUCUCUGGGCCUCGACUUUCCCCUCUGACACUGGAAUAACAACAUCCCCUGGGUGGAAAGAGUUUUCCCUUGGCGAUGGGAAAGAGAGGCAGCGGCUGAGGCAGGGCGAGGCCAAGAGUGCGCGCUGGCUCUCAGGGCCAGGACUCCUUGGCGGCCGCCAGGUAGGUCACCGCGCUGGUUGGGGCGCCGAGCACGGGACCGGCCGGCUUCAGCCACGUCCAGGCCCGGGCUGGCCACCAGAUGAGCGCUCCCGAGCGCCCCAAACGCGUCGCGGGCGGCCGUGCGUCCACCAGGCCAAGUACAGGUCAUGGAGCGGCGCCCGGGGGGCGGCACGGACCCUAGGGGAAGCAGAGGAGGCGGUGGCGGUCCCCAGCCCGAGGGUCCCAGCGCCAGACAGUUCCUGGCGCGGCUGGAAGCUCGCCCCCUGGCGGCCCGAGCUGCGGCCGACGUGGCGGCGCUGGUACGCAGGGCGGGCGCCACCUUGCGCCUGCGCCCCAAGGAGGGUGCGUGAUGGGGCGUGGGCUUUCGGGGGCGUGGUCGGAGUGGAGCCAGGUUCCGAGGGGGCGGGCCCAGGAUUGUUAGUUACUCCCCUUGUUGGGAGGGCUUCCCUGGUGGCUCAGAGGGUAAAGCCUCUACCUGCAAUGCGGGAGACCUAGGUUUGAUCCCGGGUCAGGAAGAUCCCCUGGAGAAGGAAAUGGCUAACCCACUCCAGUAAUCUUUCCUGGAAAGUUCCACGGUCGGAGGGGCCUGGUAGGCUACAGUGCAUGGGAUCGCAAAUAAUCGCACACAAAUGAGCAACUUCACUUUCUUGGUGGGACCAAUGAGUGUGAGUAGGGAGGCCCGGGCUCGGCUGUGAUUUGAGUGUACUAGGGUUAGACUAGAAUAUUCCUCAAGGAGGUGACUUAGAGAGGGUUAUUGGAGUAGUUGAACGCUGCAAGAUCAGCUGUGGGUGCGGAGCUUGACGUUUACUUUCGUCAGCGGGGUUUCAAGUGGUAUUUCUGAGGAUGCCGGGCCUGGAGAAGGUUGGGGGCGGGCAUUUGACUGAGGGGCGGGCCUGGAAUGUUAGUCAAGGGGUGGAGUCUAUAAACGCACUGGAGGUGUGGCUCGAAUUGUCAAGAAUAGGUUGACGUUUUAUGGAAUAAUUGGUCUUCUCUCGUAGCUCACUGGGUAAAGAAUCUGCCUGCAAUUAAGGUAGACCCGGGUUUGAUUCCUGGGUGGGAAGAUCCUCUGGAGUAGGAAAUGGCAACCCAUCUAGUAUUCUUGCCAAAUCUCAUGGACACAGGAAGUCUGGCGGGCUACAGUGCAUAGGGUAGUCGGACACGACUUAGUGACUACAACCAAGCUAAUUAGAGAGCAGGACCUGGAAUCCUGGAGAAGCACGGUGUUAAGAUGGGUCUAAGGGUUUAAAAUGAGGGGUUAGAAUCUGUGUUUUAUUUGAGCGAGGUAGGAAAUCUGGAGGAUUGCUUGAAUAUUUGUUGCCAGGGUUGUUAGCUAAGAAGGUGUGAUCAGAAUGGUUGCUCCGGUGGGUGGAGCCUGGAUGAUUACUUGAAGGUCUCAGUUUACAUAGCAAGAGUGGUGAAACCCGGAUGUGAAUUCAAAGGGAAGCGGCUAGAAUGUUUAUAUAGGGCAAGAGCCCUAUCCAGUGUCACAGGGCCAUCAUUAAAGAUUUUCGUUAGCAAUGUGGGAGACCUGGGUUUGAUUCCAGGAAGAUCCCCUGGAGAAGGGAAUGGCUAUCCACUACAGUAUUCUUGCCUGGAAAAUCCCAAGGACAGAGGAGCCUGGCCGGCUACAGUCCAUGGGGUCGCAAAGAGUCAGGACUGCACGACUAACACUAGUCUCUUUUAUUCUUUAGCCCUUAGAAUACCGGAAGGACAAUGACAUCAUGGAUUUGUCCCAAGAUCCCCUUGCCUCCUAGGAAGAGUUCCUGGCAUGUCAAGUACAGUCAGUUUUAAAAGCUCUGCGUUGUACUUCCCUGGUUGUGCUGUGGCUAAUGUUCAAGGCUCCCAAUGUAGAGGGCCAGGUUCAAUUACGUUGGGGAAUUGGAUCCUAAGUAACUACUAAGACCUUGCACAGCCAAAUAAAUAACAAUAAGUAUUAAAAAAAAAACUUGUGUAAUUUUGGGAAGCUUGAACCGUCCAUCUUGCCAAGAUUUCCUUCAUGAAUCUUGGGGUCUUGGAUUGGGAGAGAGGGUGGAAAAGGAGGAUGGGAGCUGCAGGAGAGCAUUGAACAGGGCCACGCUGAGAAUCCAGCACAAGCCUUGAGUCAAUAUUGGAUGUCUCUCCAUUUAUUUAGGUCUUUAAUUUCUUUCAACAAUGCUUUGCAUUUCCUAGAGUACAAUUUUUAUGCUUCUUUUGUUAAAUUUGUUCCAAAGUAUUUUUAUUAUUUUCAGGCUGUUGUGAAUGGAGUUAUUUUUUUAUUUCAUUCUUGUCUAUAGAAAUACAAUUGAUUUUUGUAUAUUGAUUUUCUAUCCUGUAGCCUCGUGAAACUUGUUAUUAGUUCUAAUUGUUUUUCAAUUGGUUCCUUAGGAUUUUCUAUGUAAUGACAUUUGCAAAUAGAGAUGGUUUUAUUUCUUUGUUAAAAAGGAAACAAUCAAUGCAAAAUGGAGUGACUUGUACUAAGCUCCACUGAUAUUUAAUAUCUAACCUAAUUGUACUUGCAGGCUAUCCUAGGAAUUGAAUUUUAAGCCAACUAGUCUGUGAGGUUUUUUUUUUCCUGGUCAGCACUAGUGAGGUAAUCUGCCUAAGACAUCCUCCCUUGCCUUCCCCUGAAGGGAAGGUGACCUUCCCAGAAAUAAUACUGUUUAAAU